CCCAACCAAAACUCAUGUUGUUUUUGUCGUCUUAGCUUUAUUAUUGAAAUUGAUAAAACUUUCAACAACGGAUCUCUUGGCUCUGGCAUCGAUGAAGAACGCAGCGAAAUGCGAUAAGUAAUGUGAAUUGCAGAAUUUAGUGAAUCAUCGAAUC
rnacentral:rRNA from 1 species